UGGGGUGUGGGGUGUGGGAUGUGGGUCUGGGGUGUGGGGUGUGGGUAUGGAUGGGGUGGGGAUUGCUCCAGCCAAGGUCCAGGAACACACACCUAUAGGCACUUUCCUCUUAGAAAAGGCACGAAGGUCUCCCUUCACCCCAGUGUGACUAGCAGUGCUUGGGGAGCUGGCCUAACUGGUUUUAAAACAAAGGGGCUUACUGACUGUGGAACAGAACCCGUGAUGUCUACUACCUAUGGAGAGAAUGCUCGAGAAAGCAAAGCUGUACAGUAUGUAGAAGGUAGAUGUAAUGAAAGGAAGAGGCUCUGUGGACCAGCUCCGAUGUAUAUAUGGACUUCUAGGAAAGCCUUGAUCUACUCCAAGCCUUCUUUGUAGCAGGAAGAAACUUGUUCAGUUUAAACAUCAGAAUCUAGGAUUAACUAAGAAAGUUUUGGACUGGAGGAGAUAAAUCAGUCAAUAAAGUGCUUGCCAUGCAAGCACGAGGAUGUGAGUUAGGAUUCUCAGCGACCAUGUGAAAGGCCAGACAUAGUGGUAUAUGCCUAUCAUCCCAGCGCCGGAGAAAUGAAGGCAGAAGGAUCUCUGAGCUUCUGGCCAGUUUGAUGGAAGAAGAGAGAGGGCCAGUAUCAGUGGAAAAUGGUUUCACAAAAAACAGAGAACCAAGAGAAACAAAAGUUGGCACUCAUAUUUUAUCCUCUCUUGCAAGAACACACACACAUACAACACACACACACACACACACACACACACACACACUCACAAUUUUGCAUAGACCAUUGUUCUCAUUCACAGGUGUGUCUUAAUGUCUAGAGCUCACCCAAUCACUUUUAUUGGUAAGAUAAACUCUGCUUUUCCACCCUGCUCUAAAAAAGGCAGUAUUAUUAAGAAAUGAGGCAUGUGUAUGUUUCUGGUUUUCU
rnacentral:lncRNA from 1 species